rnacentral:rRNA from 1 species
GGGUUGUGAGGUUAAGCGACUAAGCGUACACGGUGGAUGCCCUGGCAGUCAGAGGCGAUGAAGGACGUGCUAAUCUGCGAAAAGCGUCGGUAAGGUGAUAUGAACCGUUAUAACCGGCGAUGUCCGAAUGGGGAAACCCAGUGUGAUUCGUCACACUAUCGUUAACUGAAUACAUAGGUUAACGAGGCGAACCGGGGGAACUGAAACAUCUAAGUACCCCGAGGAAAAGAAAUCAACCGAGAUUCCCCCAGUAGCGGCGAGCGAACGGGGAGCAGCCCAGAGUCUGAAUCAGCUUGUGUGUUAGUGGAACGGUCUGGAAAGUCCGACGGUACAGGGUGAUAGUCCCGUACACCAAAAUGCACAGGCUGUGAACUCGAAGAGUAGGGCGGGACACGUGGUAUCCUGUCUGAAUAUGGGGGGACCAUCCUCCAAGGCUAAAUACUCCUGACUGACCGAUAGUGAACCAGUACCGUGAGGGAAAGGCGAAAAGAACCCCGGCGAGGGGAGUGAAAAAGAACCUGAAACCGUGUACGUACAAGCAGUGGGAGCACCUUCGGGUGUGACUGCGUACCUUUUGUAUAAUGGGUCAGCGACUUAUAUUCUGUAGCAAGGUUAACCGUAUAGGGGAGCCGCAGGGAAACCGAGUCUUAACUGGGCGUUAAGUUGCAGGGUAUAGACCCGAAACCCGGUGAUCUAGCCAUGGGCAGGUUGAAGGUUGGGUAACACUAACUGGAGGACCGAACCGACUAAUGUUGAAAAAUUAGCGGAUGACUUGUGGCUGGGGGUGAAAGGCCAAUCAAACCGGGAGAUAGCUGGUUCUCCCCGAAAGCUAUUUAGGUAGCGCCUCGUGAACUCAUCUUCGGGGGUAGAGCACUGUUUCGGCUAGGGGGUCAUCCCGACUUACCAACCCGAUGCAAACUACGAAUACCGAAGAAUGUUAUCACGGGAGACACACGGCGGGUGCUAACGUCCGUCGUGAAGAGGGAAACAACCCAGACCGCCAGCUAAGGUCCCAAAGUCAUGGUUAAGUGGGAAACGAUGUGGGAAGGCACAGACAGCCAGGAUGUUGGCUUAGAAGCAGCCAUCAUUUAAAGAAAGCGUAAUAGCUCACUGGUCGAGUCGGCCUGCGCGGAAGAUGUAACGGGGCUAAACCAUGCACCGAAGCUGCGGCAGCGACACUAUGUGUUGUUGGGUAGGGGAGCGUUCUGUAAGCCUGCGAAGGUGUGCUGUGAGGCAUGCUGGAGGUAUCAGAAGUGCGAAUGCUGACAUAAGUAACGAUAAAGCGGGUGAAAAGCCCGCUCGCCGGAAGACCAAGGGUUCCUGUCCAACGUUAAUCGGGGCAGGGUGAGUCGACCCCUAAGGCGAGGCCGAAAGGCGUAGUCGAUGGGAAACAGGUUAAUAUUCCUGUACUUGGUGUUACUGCGAAGGGGGGACGGAGAAGGCUAUGUUAGCCGGGCGACGGUUGUCCCGGUUUAAGCAUGUAGGCUGGUUGUCCAGGCAAAUCCGGAUAAUCAAGGCUGAGGUGUGAUGACGAGGCACUACGGUGCUGAAGUAACAAAUGCCCUGCUUCCAGGAAAAGCCUCUAAGCAUCAGGUAACAUCAAAUCGUACCCCAAACCGACACAGGUGGUCAGGUAGAGAAUACCAAGGCGCUUGAGAGAACUCGGGUGAAGGAACUAGGCAAAAUGGUGCCGUAACUUCGGGAGAAGGCACGCUGGUGUGUAGGUGAAGUCCCUGCGGAUGGAGCUGAGACCAGUCGAAGAUACCAGCUGGCUGCAACUGUUUAUUAAAAACACAGCACUGUGCAAACACGAAAGUGGACGUAUACGGUGUGACGCCUGCCCGGUGCCGGAAGGUUAAUUGAUGGGGUUAUCCGUAAGGAGAAGCUCUUGAUCGAAGCCCCGGUAAACGGCGGCCGUAACUAUAACGGUCCUAAGGUAGCGAAAUUCCUUGUCGGGUAAGUUCCGACCUGCACGAAUGGCGUAAUGAUGGCCAGGCUGUCUCCACCCGAGACUCAGUGAAAUUGAACUCGCUGUGAAGAUGCAGUGUACCCGCGGCAAGACGGAAAGACCCCGUGAACCUUUACUAUAGCUUGACACUGAACAUUGAGCCUUGAUGUGUAGGAUAGGUGGGAGGCUUUGAAGCGUGGACGCCAGUCUGCGUGGAGCCAACCUUGAAAUACCACCCUUUAAUGUUUGAUGUUCUAACGUUGGCCCCUUACCGGGGUUGCGGACAGUGUCUGGUGGGUAGUUUGACUGGGGCGGUCUCCUCCCAAAGCGUAACGGAGGAGCACGAAGGUUAGCUAAUCCUGGUCGGACAUCAGGAGGUUAGUGCAAUGGCAUAAGCUAGCUUGACUGCGAGCGUGACGGCGCGAGCAGGUGCGAAAGCAGGUCAUAGUGAUCCGGUGGUUCUGAAUGGAAGGGCCAUCGCUCAACGGAUAAAAGGUACUCCGGGGAUAACAGGCUGAUACCGCCCAAGAGUUCAUAUCGACGGCGGUGUUUGGCACCUCGAUGUCGGCUCAUCACAUCCUGGGGCUGAAGUAGGUCCCAAGGGUAUGGCUGUUCGCCAUUUAAAGUGGUACGCGAGCUGGGUUUAGAACGUCGUGAGACAGUUCGGUCCCUAUCUGCCGUGGGCGCUGGAGAAUUGAGGGGGGCUGCUCCUAGUACGAGAGGACCGGAGUGGACGCAUCACUGGUGUUCGGGUUGUCAUGCCAAUGGCACUGCCCGGUAGCUAAAUGCGGAAGAGAUAAGUGCUGAAAGCAUCUAAGCACGAAACUUGCCCCGAGAUGAGUUCUCCCUGAGACUAUAAGUCUCCUGAAGGAACGUUAAAGACGAUGACGUUGAUAGGCCGGGUGUGUAAGCGCAGCGAUGCGUUGAGCUAACCGGUACUAAUGAACCGUGAGGCUUAACCUUACAACGCCGAAG